rnacentral:rRNA from 1 species
AUUGAACGCUGGCGGAAUGCUUUACACAUGCAAGUCGAACGGCAGCACGGGAGCUUGCUCCUGGUGGCGAGUGGCGAACGGGUGAGUAAUAUAUCGGAACGUACCUAGUAAUGGGGGAUAACUAUCCGAAAGGAUAGCUAAUACCGCAUACGCCCUGAGGGGGAAAGCGGGGGAUCGUAAGACCUCGCGUUAUUAGAGCG